rnacentral:rRNA from 1 species
CGAGUUUGAUCCUGGCUCAGAGCGAACGUUGGCGGCGUGGAUUAGGCAUGCAAGUCGAACGAGGCUGAUUUCUUCGGAUUGAAAGCCUAGUGGCGAAAGGGUGAGUAAUACAUGGACCAUCUACCCCAGGGCCCGGGAUAACAGCUGGAAACGGCUGCUAAUACCGGAUAGUCCAGUAGUGGUAAACGGUGGGGACCUUCGGGCCUGCCGCCCAGGGAGGAGUCCAUGGCCUAUCAGCUUGUUGGUGGGGUAACGGCCUACCAAGGCUAAGACGGGUAGCCGGACUGAGAGGUUGACCGGUCACACUGGGACUGAGACACUGCCCAGACUCCUACGGGAGGCUGCAGUCGAGAAUCAUCCGCAAUGGGCGAAAGCCUGACGGUGCGACGCCGCGUGCAGGAAGAAGGCCCUCGGGUUGUAAACUGCUGUCACACGUUAAGAAAAAAUGCGGGUUAAUACCUCGCGUCUUGACAAAAGCGUGAAAGGAAGUCACGGCUAACUUCGUGCCAGCAGCCGCGGUAAGACGAAGGUGGCAAACGUUGCUCGGAAUUACUGGGCAUAAAGCGCGCGUAGGUGGCGUGGCAAGCGAAGAAUGAAAUCCCGUGGCUCACCCACGGAACUGUUCUUCGAACUACCAUGCUUGAGGUUGGGAGGGGAGAGUGGAAUUCCUGGUGUAGCGGUGAAAUGCGUAGAUAUCAGGAGGAACACCGGUGGCGAAAGCGACUCUCUGGCCCACACCUGACACUGAGGCGCGAAAGCUAGGGGAGCAAACAGGAUUAGAUACCCUGGUAGUCCUAGCUGUAAACGAUGGGCACUGGGUAAAGGGAUGUCGAUAUUCUCUUUGCCGGAGCUAAUGUGUUAAGUGCCCCGCCUGGGGAGUACGGUCGCAAGACUAAAACUCAAAGGAAUUGACGGGGGCUCACACAAGCGGUGGAGCAUGUGGUUUAAUUCGAAACAACGCGAAGAACCUUACCCAGGUUUGACAUCCAUGGAUGCUUCCUGUGAAAGCAGGAUUUGCUGCCCUUCGGGGUGAAAUAUGGACAGGUGUUGCAUGGCUGUCGUCAGCUCGUGUCGUGAGAUGUCGGGUUAAGUCCCUCAACGAGCGAAACCCUUAUCUUUAGUUACCAGCGGUUCGGCCGGGGACUCUAGAGAGACUGCCGUUGUGAAAACGGAGGAAGGUGGGGAUGACGUCAAGUCAUCAUGGCCUUUAUGCCUGGGGCUACACACGUGCUACAAUGGCCGGUACAGAGGGAAGCAAGACCGCGAGGUGGAGCAAACCCCACAAAGCCGGCCCCAGUUCGGAUUGGAGGCUGCAACUCGCCUCCAUGAAGGUGGAAUCGCUAGUAAUCGCGGAUCAGCUACGCCGCGGUGAAUAUGUUCCUGGGCCUUGUACACACCGCCCGUCAAGCCACGAAAGUCGGUAGUACCCGAAGUCACGUACCUAACCCGAUGGUUUAGGUCAUUGGGGGGGAAGUGCCUACGGUAAGACUGAUGAUUGGGACUAAGUCGUAACAA